CAGAGCCCCGAGCGAUCCACUGAGCCGGGUUUAAGGAUGAGCCUCUGCCCAGCGCAGACCUGGUCCAGUAAAACCAGCAGCCGUGAGCUGAGCAUCUCCUGCUCUCCUGUGGCUGCCAGGCAGCACUGCAGGAGCCUGCGAGCGGGCAGAAGGAGACCUUUUAGCCAUCCCUUAGUGACCACGCUCCUGAGCCUGCUUUGAUCCUGAUUCUGUCAUCCUGAUUCACGUAAACAACUAAUGUUAACCCUUUAGGUAAUUCCAACUUGUGCCACCAGCAGCUCCGGCAUCACCUGGCCUGAGGUGACUCCAUGUGGCCAUGGAGGGAGUUCAGUGGAGGUUAUGAAGAUGCUGAGAGGCCUGGAGCAGCUCUGUGAGGAGCAAACUUGACAGCCCUGGAGCUGAGAGCCUGCAGAAGAGCAGCCCCAGAGGGCAUCUGAGCAAUGCUCAGCAACAGCUGAAAGCGCAAUCGCGGUUCGGAUCCACGUGAGCCAAGGAGAACGUUUCACUUUGAGUCCAUUCCUGUGCUCUUACUCCACUUCCUGACAUAGUCACACAAGAAUCACAGGAUGGAAAGUCUCAGGAGCAAGCUUCCAGUGGAGAUAAUGAAGUCAUUUGAUAAA